rnacentral:tRNA from 1 species
GGAGAGAUGCCAGAGUGGUCGAAUGGACCGGUUUGCUAAAUCGGCGUAGCCCGUAAGGGCUACCGGGGGUUCGAAUCCCCCUCUCUCCG